UACGUAGGGUGCGAGCGUUAAUCGGAAUUACUGGGCGUAAAGCGUGCGCAGGCGGUCUGUUAAGACCGAAUGUGAAAUCCCCGGGCUUAACCUGGGGAACUGCAUUGGUGACUGGCAGGCUUUGAGUGUGGCAGAGGGAGGUAGAAUUCCACGUGUAGCAGUGAAAUGCGUAGAGAUGUGGAGGAAUACCGAUGGCGAAGGCAGCCCCCUGGGCCAAUACUGACGCUCAUGCACGAAAGCGUGGGGAGCAACAG
rnacentral:rRNA from 1 species